rnacentral:rRNA from 1 species
GGUUAAGCGACUAAGCGUACACGGUGGAUGCCCUGGCAGUCAGAGGCGAUGAAGGACGUGCUAAUCUGCGAUAAGCGCCGGUAAGGUGAUAUGAACCGUUAUAACCGGCGAUUUCCGAAUGGGGAAACCCAGUGUGAUUCGUCACACUAUCAUUAACUGAAUCCAUAGGUUAAUGAGGCGAACCGGGGGAACUGAAACAUCUAAGUACCCCGAGGAAAAGAAAUCAACCGAGAUUCCCCCAGUAGCGGCGAGCGAACGGGGAGGAGCCCAGAGCCUGAAUCAGCAUGUGUGUUAGUGGAAGCGUCUGGAAAGGCGCGCGAUACAGGGUGACAGCCCCGUACACAAAAGCGCAUGUGCUGUGAGCUCGAUGAGUAGGGCGGGACACGUGGUAUCCUGUCUGAAUAUGGGGGGACCAUCCUCCAAGGCUAAAUACUCCUGACUGACCGAUAGUGAACCAGUACCGUGAGGGAAAGGCGAAAAGAACCCCGGCGAGGGGAGUGAAAAAGAACCUGAAACCGUGUACGUACAAGCAGUGGGAGCACCCUUCGGGGUGUGACUGCGUACCUUUUGUAUAAUGGGUCAGCGACUUAUAUUCUGUAGCAAGGUUAACCGAAUAGGGGAGCCGGAGGGAAACCGAGUCUUAACCGGGCGUUAAGUUGCAGGGUAUAGACCCGAAACCCGGUGAUCUAGCCAUGGGCAGGUUGAAGGUUGGGUAACACUAACUGGAGGACCGAACCGACUAAUGUUGAAAAAUUAGCGGAUGACCUGUGGCUGGGGGUGAAAGGCCAAUCAAACCGGGAGAUAGCUGGUUCUCCCCGAAAGCUAUUUAGGUAGCGCCUCGUGAAUUCAUCUCCGGGGGUAGAGCACUGUUUCGGCUAGGGGGCCAUCCCGGCUUACCAACCCGAUGCAAACUGCGAAUACCGGAGAAUGUUAUCACGGGAGACACACGGCGGGUGCUAACGUCCGUCGUGAAGAGGGAAACAACCCAGACCGCCAGCUAAGGUCCCAAAGUCAUGGUUAAGUGGGAAACGAUGUGGGAAGGCCCAGACAGCCAGGAUGUUGGCUUAGAAGCAGCCAUCAUUUAAAGAAAGCGUAAUAGCUCACUGGUCGAGUCGGCCUGCGCGGAAGAUGUAACGGGGCUAAACCAUGCACCGAAGCUGCGGCAGCGACACUGUGUGUUGUUGGGUAGGGGAGCGUUCUGUAAGCCUGUGAAGGUGGCCUGUGAGGGUUGCUGGAGGUAUCAGAAGUGCGAAUGCUGACAUAAGUAACGAUAAAGCGGGUGAAAAGCCCGCUCGCCGGAAGACCAAGGGUUCCUGUCCAACGUUAAUCGGGGCAGGGUGAGUCGACCCCUAAGGCGAGGCCGAAAGGCGUAGUCGAUGGGAAACGGGUUAAUAUUCCCGUACUUGGUGUUACUGCGAAGGGGGGACGGAGAAGGCUAUGUUGGCCGGGCGACGGUUGUCCCGGUUUAAGCGUGUAGGUGUGUGUUCCAGGUAAAUCCGGUUCACUUUAACACUGAGGCGUGACGACGAGGCACUACGGUGCUGAAGCAACAAAUGCCCUGCUUCCAGGAAAAGCCUCUAAGCAUCAGGUAACAUCAAAUCGUACCCCAAACCGACACAGGUGGUCAGGUAGAGAAUACCAAGGCGCUUGAGAGAACUCGGGUGAAGGAACUAGGCAAAAUGGUGCCGUAACUUCGGGAGAAGGCACGCUGACACGUAGGUGAAGUGAUUUACUCAUGGAGCUGAAGUCAGUCGAAGAUACCAGCUGGCUGCAACUGUUUAUUAAAAACACAGCACUGUGCAAACACGAAAGUGGACGUAUACGGUGUGACGCCUGCCCGGUGCCGGAAGGUUAAUUGAUGGGGUCAGCGCAAGCGAAGCUCCUGAUCGAAGCCCCGGUAAACGGCGGCCGUAACUAUAACGGUCCUAAGGUAGCGAAAUUCCUUGUCGGGUAAGUUCCGACCUGCACGAAUGGCGUAAUGAUGGCCAGGCUGUCUCCACCCGAGACUCAGUGAAAUUGAACUCGCUGUGAAGAUGCAGUGUACCCGCGGCAAGACGGAAAGACCCCGUGAACCUUUACUAUAGCUUGACACUGAACAUUGAGCCUUGAUGUGUAGGAUAGGUGGGAGGCUUUGAAGUGUGGACGCCAGUCUGCAUGGAGCCGACCUUGAAAUACCACCCUUUAAUGUUUGAUGUUCUAACGUGGACCCGUAAUCCGGGUUGCGGACAGUGUCUGGUGGGUAGUUUGACUGGGGCGGUCUCCUCCUAAAGAGUAACGGAGGAGCACGAAGGUUGGCUAAUCCUGGUCGGACAUCAGGAGGUUAGUGCAAUGGCAUAAGCCAGCUUGACUGCGAGCGUGACGGCGCGAGCAGGUGCGAAAGCAGGUCAUAGUGAUCCGGUGGUUCUGAAUGGAAGGGCCAUCGCUCAACGGAUAAAAGGUACUCCGGGGAUAACAGGCUGAUACCGCCCAAGAGUUCAUAUCGACGGCGGUGUUUGGCACCUCGAUGUCGGCUCAUCACAUCCUGGGGCUGAAGUAGGUCCCAAGGGUAUGGCUGUUCGCCAUUUAAAGUGGUACGCGAGCUGGGUUUAGAACGUCGUGAGACAGUUCGGUCCCUAUCUGCCGUGGGCGCUGGAGAACUGAGGGGGGCUGCUCCUAGUACGAGAGGACCGGAGUGGACGCAUCACUGGUGUUCGGGUUGUCAUGCCAAUGGCACUGCCCGGUAGCUAAAUGCGGAAGAGAUAAGUGCUGAAAGCAUCUAAGCACGAAACUUGCCCCGAGAUGAGUUCUCCCUGAGACUUAGAGUCUCCUGAAGGAACGUUGAAGACGACGACGUUGAUAGGCCGGGUGUGUAAGCGCAGCGAUGCGUUGAGCUAACCGGUACUAAUGAACCGUGAGGCUUAACCUU